GUAAAAUUUAUACCACAACCCUGUUGAAUUCUGAUUGGCUGAUAGACGUUCUGAGGUGUGCAAUUACUUUUCAGUAAAUGCACAGCUAAAGGAGUUCCAGUCGGGUCUUAACCGCGUUACAGUACCAUAUCACUUCGCCAAGUGAACUGAGAUAAUGUCCAUCACAGAACACACAUUUAACAACAAAAGUCCAUUUAGAUUUUCCAGAAAUAAGUAAUAAUUGACGACAGGGUGUUUAAUUAUUAGAAAAAUAAUGCGCACCCGAGGUGGUAAUGAGGCCACGAGGCGCAGCGGAGGCUUGAACCAUUGAUAUGCAAGAGAGAGAGAGAGAGAGAGAGAGAGAGAGAGAAAGAAAGAUCAAGAAAAAAGAGAAAGCACGUGUGAGUACAGUAUAGAGACAAAAGCCAUUGAACAGAUAUGUGUUUAUUUAUUCGUUGUAUUUUCUGCAGUAACAAGUAGGCCUAUCAAUAUAUAUUUAUUUGUUCUAUUUUUAUAUUAUCAGCAUGAAAUGGAAAAGAAAAAGAAAAAAAAAAACCCUGAACACACUCGCUGUCUCAGAACUGCAUAUCAAUGGCUCGAGUCUCUGUUACGAACUCUAAAAUGACAUUAUGGAAUUAGUAAUGUAGGUUUGAGAUGGGAUGCCUAAUAAAUUAGUUCCAUACUUGACAAACACCUGACAAAUGUCCUCAAAUAAAACAUCUGAACAAUGUCUUGACGUAGUAACUGGUAUAAAUGGAAUAAUUGACUCUGGUUCAACCAAACUGAAAACAAGAAGCUUAAACUGAAUUUGAUACCCAUAGAUCAUGAAGUGUUCUAUUUUUUUGUUUGUUUGUUUGUUUUGCUUUUCAUGUAUUAAAAUCAUUUUGCAUAAUGAUUUUGUCAACCAAGUACUGAAUUUGUGGCUCUAUUUCUAGUCACAUAGUUGAAUACUUGAUGUAUAAGCGGAAUCAAGAUUUUAUUUACAGUGCUAAAAAGCUCAACAGAAAGUACCUGAACACUUUGACAACUGUUCAAUUACAAUGGUUUCUUUUGUAGGUUUAUAGCAUGAAAUGCCUUAGUUAUGCCCAAGCAUGCACACACACGCACACGCACACACACACACACACAGCAUUUAUAAACUUGAAAAGACCAUAAUUUG
ensembl:lncRNA